GACGAACCGUGCGAACGUUAUUCGGAAUCACUGGGCUUAAAGCGCGUGUAGGCGGCCCGGCACGUCAGUCGCUGAAAUCCCCCGGCUCAACCGGGGAAGUGGCGUUGAUACGACCGGGCUGGAGGGGGGUAGGGGGGACGGGAACUCACGGUGGAGCGGUGAAAUGCGUUGAGAUCGUGAGGAACGCCCGUGGCGAAAGCGCGUCCCUGGACCCCACCUGACGCUGAGACGCGAAAGCCAGGGGAGCGAACGGG
rnacentral:rRNA from 1 species